ensembl:rRNA 5S_rRNA 5S ribosomal RNA
UUCGGCAGCUAGCUUUCUGCAACUCUCACAUGGUCAUCCACUGAAGCUAAGCAGAGCUGUGCCUGGACAGUACCUGGAUGGGGUUCCCACUUGGGAAAGCUAGGUUGCUGCUGGAA